GUUGUACACAUGGCUUCCAAGAUUUGGUUCUGAAGCAUUCAUUGCAUGCAGGUCUGUGGGGCACCAGAGGAGCGCUUAACUCAGAGACACAUCUUCUUGCUCCCCAUCUACCUGGCCCACCUGGGUCAGAAACAGUGAGUCCAGCAGACAAUGAACCCAGCUGAGGGUACACAAGCCUCACUUUGGGAACCUACAUGGAAGCAUAUUGUGCACAGGGGAGUUCCUGUUCGCACACCACAGUGUUGCAGCAGCCUUCUGAGUCUUUGCCAUGAUACUGCACGUGGUGCCUUCCUGGCUUUGCAGUGCUGGACUACACAGGGAGCUAAAAGAAGACUAAACCCAAGAGUGUGGGACUACUCACCACUCAACUGUAUCUUCUCAAUGUAUUUGUAUUUAUUGAGUACCUGCCAUGCACCAGGAAAAAGUAAUUACUUUUCCACCAACGCCUGAGUGGUUAUUACAAAAGAAAGUCCAUUCUGCUGAUUCUUUGGUUAAUCUUCAGGCAAAGAUUCACAAGCGUUCUUCUCAUACAGAGCGCAAUGAUAUGAACCAUGAAAAUUUCCAAAUGCUGUUUGAAACAGCAGAGGGGCUGCCAUUGCUCUCACCCCAGUCUGACAAAGGAGUAACCCACGGAGUACAGCCCUUUUUUUUGUUGACAGUGAAAUGAUAUGGUCUCUGACUGCCCAAAGUCCAGAUCUGUAAAAAUCUAUAAACUCUGGCAUAUAAGACACCAUGUUCUAAGCCAACCAGUAAACUAACGAGAACCCAGUUUUCCUUGCUUAUGUCACCUGAGGGCAAAACAUCAGUUACAAAGCUCCUGUAAGCAGUGAUGGUAGACAGAAGUGGGACUGUAGCCAAUGAUAUGGCUUCAUAUCAUUGUUUCA